UACGUAGGGGGCAAGCGUUGUCCGGAAUCAUUGGGCGUAAAGCGCGUGUAGGCGGCUCAGUACGUCUGUUCUGAAAGUCCAAGGCUCAACCUUGGGAUGCGGAUGGAUACUGCUGGGCUCGAGUCCGGAAGAGGCGAGUGGAAUUCCUGGUGUAGCGGUGAAAUGCGCAGAUAUCAGGAGGAACACCGGUGGCGAAGGCGGGACUCUGGGCCGAUACUGACGCUGAGGAGCGAAAGCGUGGGGAGCAAACAGG
rnacentral:rRNA from 1 species